UCCUGCGCUACACGCGUACUACAAUGCAACGGACAAAGGGCAGCCAACUAGCGAUAGUGCGCAAAUCCCAUAAACCGUUGCUCAGUUCAGAUUGCAGGCUGCAACUCGCCUGCAUGAAGGCGGAAUCGCUAGUAAUCGCAGGUCAGCAUACUGCGGUGAAUACGUUCCCGGGCCUUGGACACACCGCCCGU
rnacentral:rRNA from 1 species